GCCUAGUCAGCUUGGAAGGUAGAGCGUCUGCCUUGCAAACAGUAGGUCGCAAGUUCGAUUCCCGCUCGGGGCG
rfam:Asian citrus Psyllid, Diaphorina citri - Florida Strain, whole genome shotgun sequence.